rnacentral:RNase_P_RNA from 1 species
AGACAAUCGCUGAGUGAUCAGAGGAAAGUCCAUGCUCGCACAUUCUGAGAUGAAUGUAGUGUUUAUGCCAGGUCAAACAAUAAGCCUGGGCAGUGCAAACUGAUGGCUGGUGAUAUUCCUAAGGAGCAAUCUAUGGAAUUAACCUGUAAAAGUGUCAAAGAGACGAGCUUAAUGGAAACAUUAAGGUGGAACGCGAUAAACCCCAUAAGCGAGAAACCCAAAUUAUGGUAGGGGAACCUGCAAUAGUGAAAUGAAACGAUUUGCGGGGCACUUAUAGUGCAGAUAAAUGAUUGUCCUAGACAGAACAUGGCUUACUG